rnacentral:tRNA from 1 species
UCCCUGGUACUUCAGUGGGUUAAGAAGCUGGCAUUGUCACUGCUGUGGCAUGGGUUCAAUCCCUGACCCUGGAA